rnacentral:rRNA from 1 species
GACAGAGGGUGCAAACGUUGUUCGGAAUUACUGGCGUAAAGCGUGUGUAGGCGGCUUCGCAAGUCGGAUGUGAAAGCCCCGGGCUCAACCCGGGAAGUGCACUCGAUACUGCGGAGCUAGAGUGUCGGAGAGGUUGGUGGAAUUCUCGGUGUAGAGGUGAAAUUCGUAGAUAUCGAGAGGAACACCGGUGGCGAAGGCGGCCAACUGGACGAACACUGACGCUGAGACACGAAAGCGUGGGGAGCAAACAGG